rnacentral:lncRNA from 1 species
GUAAUUUAGAAUUCUUAUGAUCACAGGAUUACUGUGCCACUAUAACCCCUAUAAUUGGUCAUGAUCCACUCUCGUAAGAGGGAAAGCCAAUACCAUAUCCAUUCACAGGGCGUGGUUCACUAAUAGUCGACAAAUAGAUGGAUAACAGUAGCUCUUAUGUGAUAAUGGAUAAACAGAUUUAGGGUUUUUGGGAUAUUUGUUGAAAUGGAUUUUUGUGCUUGUUUAGUAAUUUAUUUUUGAUAAUCAUUCAUGAUAAAUGUGUUAUAAUGAUGAUUUUAGAUACAUGUGGGAUUGACCUUUAUUUUACCAUUAGUAAUGGCAAAGAGGAGU